UACGUAGGGGGCAAGCGUUGUCCGGAAUCAUUGGGCGUAAAGCGCGCGUAGGCGGCCCGGUAAGUCCGUUGUGAAAGUCAAAGGCUCAACCUUUGAACGCCGAUGGAUACUGCCGGGCUAGAGUCCGGAAGAGGCGAGUGGAAUUCCUGGUGUAGCGGUGGAAUGCGCAGAUAUCAGGAGGAACACCGGUGGCGAAGGCGGAUCUCUGGGCCAUUACUGACGCUGAGGAGCGAAAGCGUGGGGAGCGAACAGG
rnacentral:rRNA from 1 species